GGACGUGUGGCCCAAUGGCAAGGCGCUUGACUACGAAUCAAGAGAUUCACGGUUCGAUCCCGUGCACGUUCA
rnacentral:tRNA from 3 species